rnacentral:lncRNA from 1 species
ACUCAUUCUUAUAUGAGUGUCAAAUAGAGAAUUAUCUCUUUGCUAUUAGAGUCCGGAGCAUGAGGAGCUACAGGACCAUAUGUGGUAGAAGAACCUGUCAGGCUUGCCAAAUCAAAGCCAGAAACUAUGCAAUGGUUGUGGACCUUAUCGCUCGUUAGCAUAUGGAUGUGUUGAUUUUUACUGAGAGAGUUGGUAAUGUAGAAGCAAGUUAGUUAAUUUUUUAAUGGAAGAAGUGGAUAAUUUAGAAGCAAGUACUGUGGAUUACUAUGCUAUUUUUUCAUAAUGGCAAAGGUGAGUCAUUUUUUAAAAAAAAAAUGGAAUAGACCCAAUGUCUAUUGGUGCCGAUGAUUAUUAAAAAUUAUCAAAUUAAUAUUGAUUGCUAUAUGUUCCCUUUUUUGAGAAAUUCUAGGAUUUAUCUAUUUUCUAGCACGUCGUCUCAUUAAGAUUAAUGUGAGAAAUCUCUAAUUAGUAAUAGUAAGAUGUGGUAGGUAU